GACGAACGCGGCGGCGUGCCUAAUACAUGCAAGUAGAACGCUGAAGCUUGGUGCUUGCACCGAGCGGAUGAGUUGCGAACGGGUGAGUAACGCGUAGGUAACCUGCCUGGUAGCGGGGGAUAACUAUUGGAAACGAUAGCUAAUACCGCAUAAUAGUAGAUGUUGCAUGACAUUUGCUUAAAAGGUGCAAUUGCAUCACUACCAGAUGGACCUGCGUUGUAUUAGCUAGUUGGUGAGGUAACGGCUCACCAAGGCGACGAUACAUAGCCGACCUGAGAGGGUGAUCGGCCACACUGGGACUGAGACACGGCCCAGACUCCUACGGGAGGCAGCAGUAGGGAAUCUUCGGCAAUGGACGGAAGUCUGACCGAGCAACGCCGCGUGAGUGAAGAAGGUUUUCGGAUCGUAAAGCUCUGUUGUAAGAGAAGAACGAGUGUGAGAGUGGAAAGUCAC
rnacentral:rRNA from 1 species